UACGUAGGGGGCUAGCGUUGUCCGGAUUUAUUGGGCGUAAAGAGCGUGUAGGCGGCCAGAUAGGUCUGCUGUGAAAACUCGAGGCUCAACCUCGAGAUGUCGGCGGAAACCAUUUGGCUAGAGUCCGGAAGAGGAAAGUGGAAUUCCUGGUGUAGCGGUGAAAUGCGCAGAUAUCAGGAAGAACACCCGUGGCGAAGGCGGCUUUCUGGGACGGUACUGACGCUGAGGUGCGAAAGCGUGGGGAGCGAACAGG
rnacentral:rRNA from 1 species